rnacentral:rRNA from 1 species
GUCUAAAGCCACCCCUCUCUGAAUGUACCCAGUCUCAUCUGGUCUUGAAAGGUAAGCAUGGCUGGGCCUGAUUAGCACUUGGAAGGGAGAUAGAUU